CGUGCAAGCUUGUAAUACAAAGAUUUUCACGUACCAAUUAAGCUUGGCAAUGGGUUGGAUUGGAUGUGGAUUUGGGUUGACCUGAAUCCAACUCGAUAUUCCAGCAUUUUGAUCCAAAUCCGACCCAUGAUCCGAUGGAUUAACAUUUUUUUUACCCAUAUCCUAUCCGAUUGGAUAUCGAAUUAUUCGAUCGGAUACCCA
rnacentral:lncRNA from 1 species